GACUCUCUUCCCAGCGUAGGUUGUGCCAAGUUGACAGUUAAAGCUAACGAGGACAUCGUUUUUGUCUGUUCCCUUUCAGCAUUUCAGCUGAUCCUCACCAUUGUGGGCACCAUAGCCGGAGCCCUCAUUCUCAUCCUGCUGAUUGCAUUUAUCGUCUCAGUGAGUUCAAAAAACAAAAAGAAGAAUGCAGAGGAGCGGAAGUUGAUUGAUGAAGACUUUCAGAACGUACGAAUGCAGCAAACUGGCUUCAGCAAUUCCGGCUUCAGCAACUCCCGCUUCAGCAACUCCGGCUUUAGCAACAACUCUGACUUCAGCAACUUCGGAGCUGGCAACAGCAUCUUCCCCAAAGUCAAGACCCAAAAUCCUUAUGCAAACCAGCGAAGCAUGCCUCGCCCCGACUACUAGAAUGAGAAGAAUUUGGAGCCCUCCCUAGCCCAGCCCACACAAGCUGUGAUUUUGAGUGUUUAGAGGACAAGAGAAGUGGGCAGAGACAAAAACCUGACCUCCAGGGUUCUGUCUACCCCAUCUGUCAACCCCUCUGAGUGUGGACCUGUAUGAAGAAUGCAGCUCCCUGAAGACACCUAUAAAAUUAAAUGCACAUAGACACUAUGAGUCUUGUUAAGUGUUGAUUUUCUCCAGUUAGUACAAAAUGCUAAGAUGGUGAUUGGUAUAGGGCUUUUCUUUCCUGGUGGACCAAGAGCAUUUCCCAUCUAGAGGGAGCACCCUCAUAACCCGUCCCUGGGCAGUGCUGCUUCUGAGCUCCGGACUCUGGCCACCCGUGAACAGUCAGUGGCUUGUGGUAGGGCCUCACUCCAAGAACACAGGCACGAGACAGAAACAUCUCCCAGCUUUCUCAGGAGGACUGCCGGCAUCCAGGAACCUUCCGAAGAGAAUGAGGAGGUUUGGAUUAGCUCUGUCCUCCAUGGGGACAUUCAAGUCUUUCAGAUGUUAGUUGGUAGGAGAAGCAUGGAGGAAAACCAUGAGCGUUAGGUAGAAGAGGGAAGCCAAGGAAGCCAUGCUGGAAGGGCAAGUGAGGAAGAAGGGAGCCGGUGGCACCUAGUCCCUUGGUGUCCCUCCUCAGACAGCAAAUGGGCACUUCUCAGGGGCUGCCCUCCCCAAGACAUAGAUCCUGGGAAAGCCAUAAAAACAGGAGUCCGUGUGAAGUCUGGAGCUGUGUCAAAUGGCCCAGGUAUCCACUCUAUGAUGCAAUUUCUACGGGUACUUCACUGGGCCUCAGCCUGCUCCACGAUGGAGGCUUAGCAGUGCCCACCAACACCCGUGCGCAUACAUACACACGCACACACACAUGACAAAUACACGCAGUAGUCUUUUUAGAUGUUUUUAAUUGUGUCCUGUGUCUAUCUGAUGUCUGGUCCUCUCAACUGGUACUUUUAUUUGUUAAUAUUAUUUGUUUUUGACUGUUCAUUGUGAAAAGCAGUGAUGCAAUAAAGCAUCUUUGGUACACGGUA